GCUUAUGAGAAGCCUUUGUGGCCCCGCAAGGGGUACCUGACGCGACUUGAAAAAAAAUAAGAAUUCAGGUAUUAAAUCGCAAGUCGGCUGCGGCUGGCAACACUUUCGAAUUGCGGGGACACCCUAAAGCCGGUUCUACCAACCAAGCAAGGAAACUUAGCUCGGGGCUCAUGUUAAUCGCAUGAGGUACGGUAAGAAGGAACCUGGAUACAUGGGCAAUCCGCAGCCAAAUCCCUAAGGCAUCCGCUACGGGAGAGGUUCACAGACUAAGUGGAAGUGGGCUGAAGGUUCAGCUUAAGAUAUAGUCGGGCCCUGCGAGAAAUCGUGGGGAAGUCACUCGAACAAACCGU
rnacentral:ncRNA from 1 species